rnacentral:rRNA from 1 species
AUGCUACAAAGGAAGCAGGGAGAAUCACGUGCACAUUCUAGAAACUACUACUACUACAACUAUGAGUUGCAGGCUGGCAACAUAGGGACACAUGGUGUGGUAUUCUCCCUCCCCCACUUGCCACGUCAGACCCGCCGUUCGGUCAAACAGACCGCUCGCGCGACGCCGUCAGCUCACUCUCCCCUCGCGCUCUUCUCUUCCUCUUCUCCCUCUCUCUGUGCCGACCUCACCGUCACCUUGCCCGGCGCCGUCGCCUUGCUCGCCGCCAGUGCCUUAUUCGCUGCCGGCGCCAUGCGAACUCGCGAGGAGAUCCUUGGGUGGAUGAGUGAUGACAGAGCAGUUGUGCUCCUACACAGAAAGGUUGCUUAUGAAGGUGUCAACACUGGCAGAAGGUUCAUUUGUUGCAUGCGGCAGGAUGAACAAGCAUGCGAUUUUCUGAUGUGGUAUGAUCCUGAAUGGUCUGCACCAAUGCAGAGAUCUAUCAAUGCACUUUAUGCCGAUAAGCUGAAGGCUGAAGAUUGUAAGAUGGAAUUGGAGAUCAUGUUGGCCGAUAAGUUAUCUGACAUGGAAGAAAAAGAGAAGAAAAGCCAGCACAAGAUGUUAUCAAAGAUGAAGGCAAUGAAGAUGGAGCUAAGCAAGAAGGAUCUGUUUAUCUGUGUGUUACUUGGUGGCAAUAUAGCUUUAUUUGCAGUUCGAGUUGUGCUUAUUGGACUGAAAAUGUAA